rnacentral:rRNA from 1 species
AUUGAACGCUGGCGGCAGGCCUAACACAUGCAAGUCGAACGGUAACAGGAAGCAGCUUGCUUCUUCGCUGACGAGUGGCGGACGGGUGAGUAAUGUCUGGGAAACUGCCUGAUGGAGGGGGAUAACUACUGGAAACGGUAGCUAAUACCGCAUAACGUCGCAAGACCAAAGAGGGGGACCUUCGGGCCUCUUGCCAUCGGAUGUGCCCAGAUGGGAUUAGCUAGUAGGUGGGGUAACGGCUCACCUAGGCGACGAUCCCUAGCUGGUCUGAGAGGAUGACCAGCCACACUGGAACUGAGACACGGUCCAGACUCCUACGGGAGGCAGCAGUGGGGAAUAUUGCACAAUGGGCGCAAGCCUGAUGCAGCCAUGCCGCGUGUAUGAAGAAGGCCUUCGGGUUGUAAAGUACUUUCAGCGGGGAGGAAGGGAGUAAAGUUAAUACCUUUGCUCAUUGACGUUACCCGCAGAAGAAGCACCGGCUAACUCCGUGCCAGCAGCCGCGGUAAUACGGAGGGUGCAAGCGUUAAUCGGAAUUACUGGGCGUAAAGCGCACGCAGGCGGUUUGUUAAGUCAGAUGUGAAAUCCCCGGGCUCAACCUGGGAACUGCAUCUGAUACUGGCAAGCUUGAGUCUCGUAGAGGGGGGUAGAAUUCCAGGUGUAGCGGUGAAAUGCGUAGAGAUCUGGAGGAAUACCGGUGGCGAAGGCGGCCCCCUGGACGAAGAC